GACGAACGCUGGCGGCGUGCUUAACACAUGCAAGUCGAACGGGCCCGCCCCUGUUUUUGGGGGUGGGUUGAGUGGCGAACGGGUGAGUAUCACGUGAGUAACCUGCCCCCUGCUCCUGGAUAACUGCUUGAAAGGGCGGCUAAUACGGGGUGUGCCGGCUGGUCCGCAUGGGCCUGGUCGGGAUAGUUUCAUCUUCGGGUGUUUCGGUGGGGGAUGGGCUCGCGGCCUAUCAGCUUGUUGGUUGGGUGAUGGCCCACCAAGGCGGGGACGGGUAGCCGGCCUGAGAGGGUGGGCGGCCACACUGGGACUGAGACACGGCCCAGACUCCUGCGGGAGGCAGCAGUGGGGGGUAUUGCACAAUGGGCGGAAGCCUGAUGCAGCGACGUCGCGUGAGGGAUGGAGGCCUUCGGGUUGUGAACCUCUUUCUCCGGUGGUGAAGGCCCUGUCCGUUGCGGCGGGGUUGACGGUAGCCGGGUAUGAAGCGCCGGCUAACUACGUG
rnacentral:rRNA from 1 species